AAAAGAUCGCUCAUUUUCAUCGCGUGACUCUAAUCGCCGCUGCUAUCUCUUCCGCUGCAGCGACCGAAUCUCUACCGACGCAUUCAUCGCCCCUCAUUAUCUUGCCCUCCGUUACAGGAAGAAAAGCGAGAUUAAACUGCGCGGCCACCGCCUUCACGUCUACUACUAACCUGUCCAUGCUACCAUCCUCCCCACCAUCGCCGGUCUGCCUCUGUUCGGAUGCAAUUCUGGGUGCUGGUAGGACGCGGUUCCGUUCGACCACCCACAUCGUCGAGGAAGACACGUCGUUGCUCUGCUCCGGACCACCUCCCGCACGCCCGCCUGUCUGCCUCGCCUCGCCUCGCUUCAAUGUGUCUCUGAUCGUGGGAACACAGAACGGGCCGGCGGCGGGAGGAGAGGUGGGGAAUCCGACUCAAUUGCCAAACAGGACUUCCAAAGGGACUCCACCUUUGGGGCUAACACACCAGCUUAUCAGUCCGCAACAUCUGUUCAUCAGCUCCACACGUGUCUGACACUCCCAAGGCCAGGCUAGCAGCUCGAUGUGCUUCCACAUGGACUUCAUGGAGAUUCUGUUUCACUUGGACAUAAGCAAUAUUUUUGAUGUGUAAUGGCAUCAUUCCGACCAAGGGGUUGGCAAAAUUCCAAGCAGGUUGUGUUAUAUAUGUAUCAAGUAAUGCCUCUUUUAUAUAUUCCAGUUUCUCUUCCGUUCUUAUGUUCUAUUUAUUCAGCAUCUGGAUCCAUCACAUUCAUUGGUUGCUGUUGUUUUGGAUAACCUGAUGCACCUAUAUCUCUUGAUUUAUCAGCAGGCCGCACGCCACCAGAAAUCCGGCAAUUUUUACUUCAUCUACCAAGCGGAGGUAAGCACUCAUGCAUCAAACGCAAGUGUUGUUCACUUGGACGAUCCAUCUACCUGCCACUUUUGAUUUCUCUUCAACCUUCUGAUCACUAGCAAUCCUACACCAUAGGUAGGCACUGAUGUUUACUGCUUCAUUUUAGUUGAUCUUCU